UUCCGCUUCCCGUUCUUCCUCACGGAAGCUCACGUGUUUGGUUCCCGGGGCUCGGCCCAGGUCUUCUUGGCUGUCUGUUUCUGCCUGGCCCUGCAGCUGGCAGGUCAGCGGCUGCUUUUGGUCUUCAGGCACUCCAGGGAUGGCUGGCAGCAGACUGAAAGGACAGAGCAGGAGGGGUCCGCCUGAGUGGGUGAUGGUUUUGGGGCCGCGUCCUGCAAGCCGGAGCCAGGACCCUUGGCUGCAACGCAGCCUUCCCCACAGACAGCUCAGCGGCUGCCCCGUGGCUCUCCCCCGUGGGAUCCAGAGAGGGGCCAGCCCUGUGAGCUGGGGGGCUCCUGGCGUCCCCAUCCCAGCACUGUUGGGCAGCCAGAAACAGGGACCCUUUGGGGCUAGGGAAUGGGCUCUCGUUGGCUCAGUCAAUCACCCCCAUGCACAUGCCAAGCCAGAGCCUCCAGCCUCACCUGGACGUAGAGCUCUCCUUGCGCAGUAAGCUCCUUAUCCUUCGGAGUUUUCCUCCAUCUAGACUGUCCGAGCUCAAGCGUUUGAUGUAGGUUGGCUUGCCAGCAAAUCUCACUGGGAUUGGGAAGGCAGAGGAGACUUACCGUCAACCCUUUGGCUCACUCACCAGGGGCGCUCAGGCCUGUUCCCAGAACAUGCGUGAGGGCCGCUCUGCUCCCCCCACUGCUGACAUCUGUGCCGCCCGCGGACCCUCCCUGAAACCAUCUCUGGCCCCACUCCUCCUCUCUGCCAUCUUGGGACUCUCUUUUGGGAGUGCAUUAGUGACGGUGGCUUUGGGAAAGCGGAGCUGGGUGGUGACGAUGAGCUGACAGGGUGACUUUUGGGGACCAUAUCCUUUUGUUGGGGGAGGGCGGGGCCUAAGGUGCCGAGGUGCUCCUGCCAUAGCCAGGGAUGGGGGCACGUCACAGCCAGCGCCUUGGUUUUGGAGAGGCCAACAAUUCCUCGUGGGAAGAGGCCGUGCUGAGCUGGCGUGAAGCUUUGACGUAAGUCAGAGCCCUUGGCUGAUGUUCAGCAAGGGAUUUCCCAUCUCAAGGAUGCCUCCUGAGGACCUGCGGGAUAUCCCAG
ensembl:lncRNA